rnacentral:lncRNA from 1 species
ACUCUUCGGUGGCGUCACCGUCACCGUUCAAGGAGGUGAUUGUACCGACCACGGGCACGGAGCCAGUCAACGACAUCCUGCACCACCAGAAGAUCACGCUAAGGCACCUGCAGCCGGCCACCACCUACGACCUGUACAUCCAGGCCAGCAACCGGCACGGCUGGAACGCCGUCUCCGACAUGUUCCACUUCUCCACGCUGUCCAAGGGCGAAGCUCUCGAGUCGAGGAUAGCAAGAGCUGGCGGGCACGAGGUCCGGCAACUGCAUCCCUUCCUCGGAGCGCUGACGGUUUUCGCCUUCAUCCUGCUCCCGGUGAUACUGUGAAGCGUGAGGAGCAGCACAGAGAUCGGAGCUCAUCAGCACCAAUCCCGCAGUACGAGCAACGGUCAAAGACGCAUCAGGGACGAUGGUGGCGACGUGGUGUUAUAAACGAACCGGCAGAUCGACAGUGCAGUUCUCCGGGUGUCGUUGUUGGCUGUGCGUUCCUGGCCAUUGGACGGUCUGGCUGCAGCGUCCCAGGUUGUGGCGCGCCAGCAGACGCCCGCCGCUGCAGCACGGCGCUUACUGCGGCGUGCCAGCGCCACAGGAAGGUCCUGCGUUGUAAUUAGUUCUUCACAACAACGUUCACAUCACAAGUAGAGAGCACUCAUCGGUGGACAAACAGGUCUCUCCUGUCCUGCAUCGACCGGUUGUGGUAGGCCUGUUCCUGCCCUGUGGGUGGGAAAGUAUAGCGAGUGAGGCAACUUGCGCACUGUUGCAAAUAUGUCGCCAGCAUUGAACCAACUCAUGCGGUGUCAAUGUUCACAUCACAUGUCAUCACGGAUCAAUGCCAGAUCAGCUAGUUUGUAUUUAUGUCGGACGCAUCGCUAGUGUCGUUAGCAUAAGGUCUAGUCACGUAUGUCUUGUACUCUGUAGGAAGGCACAUGAGCGUCGAGUGCUGUCAUCAGAAUCUUACCACGGUUUCAUUCAAGUGUUUUGAGUUUGUUUCAAUCGCUUUGAGUGUUCAGCCAGACCACUGGCAUCAGACACUGCCCUGAUUUUCGAAGUUCGGUUAGAACCGGACCGGAAAUAGAGAUUUUCUUCAUCGACCAAAGUGCAAAACUGUCGACUGGACAUGGAUCGAGGCUUGUUCUGUGCCAUGACUGAGCUCAUCCUCCCGGCCGGCCGACUCGGCCGCUGGUGACACGGCCUGGGUCAGGGUCACCCUGCAGGCAAACGACUACCGACAGCAGGCUUGUGGCGCCAGACCGCGUAUCAUCAUAGUCUGUAUCGAAAUCGAGUGGAAAAUAUUGCAUUGUGGUCCGUGGUGUAAAGAGUUACUUGUGGCCUUACUUCGUCUGGACUUAAUUCUAAAAUCGUUGCAGGGUGCGUUGUGGCGGAAUCGUGUCUUAAGGGAAUGUUCGACACUGUAUGAGGCUUUGAACUGAGUUGGCGAUUUUCAUGAUCCUUUCCUGCAGUUCACAGCCGUGCCCUUUUUAAGACUUAAAGCCCUCUUUGUUUAUGAGCUUGAUACACGCUAACUUGUGCGCCCUGCCACACAUCACCUAUUUGAAAGUCACCCAGACAUGUAUGACGUCAAAGAGACGUCACACGAACACCCGAAGUCAAUGGUUGUUUUGUGCUCAUGGUCAAGACAAAUAUGCCCACGUAAACAUUCAUGUUUGCGCUGGUGCAGCACCAAGAAUCCCAACGGUGAAAACCCAUUGGCUAGCAGUAAGGUCGGGUUGCCGAUUACAUGCCUCGAUCAAGAACCUCACUUUGUCACAACUAACCGAGGUAUUUGGGUACCUACCAAAUUUGACGGAGCUGCCUUAAAAGCGAAUGACGUAACAAUAGUGCCGUAACCGAAAAUGUUAAUUCAAUGAAAAUACGUGGCAUCACGAACAAAUAAGCGAGGACACCACGACGAAAGGCCAAAGCACGUGCUCAUAACACUUAGAAAUAAAACUGACAUGCAUUAAUCAACAAUGUUUCCUUGCAAUGCCUAGAAGUACCACAAUGCGUCGCGCCGUCCUCUACAGCGUCAUCUCUGACAUGGCAACUCUGGCAGAGACUCUGGCGUCAUCAAAACAUUCCAUGAUGUAAUCAUGCGGUGACGUAUUGAGGAGAGAAUUAACAAAUUAGUGUAGUUUUGAAAUUCAGGGCAGUCAUUUGUACUUUUAGCACACCAAUAGUUAGAAGUGAGCAUCACGUCCAAUGCUUGCCUCAGUAUUUCCAAAGGUGGACAGUCCCUUUAGAUGAAAUGCUACAAACAUGAAGAUUUAUCCUUGAGUUCAAUCAAGCAUCAGUUAUGAUGAAAUGAGCUACCUCAUAACUGUUGGUGUACUUUAAAGUGUAAAGACUGCUCUAAAUAACACAAUUUCCCUGUUUAGUAAAUGUGCUCCGAAAUGCGUCAUUGUUUGAUUGCGUCAGGAAACAGUUGCAUGACGUUAAGGUGCUGCUAAACUGCUCGAGCGAAAUUGCCGCCCUAGUACUUAUUAAAAGUGCAUUCAACUUGCCGAAAGAUGGCAGUGAUGGUGAUGCAAGUUGUCGCUGAACCAAAUGUCGUUAUAUGCUCGUGUUUUGGUCCUUUUGCGUGAUGUUUCUGCCUGUUUAUCCCUGAGUUUCAUAUAUUUACGUGUACUAAAAUACUCAUUUAUGGCGCCAUUCUAACGUUAUUCGAUUACAAGCCUUAUUUCUAUCAUAAUUAGAAACCAUGUGCAACUUCUUAUCUUAUGUAGCACAAAACGUGAUUCACGACUGAAAUUUGCACAGCUUACUCAACAUUGGUUUUGAGCCAACUGACGUCCGCUAUAUUUGGAAAUCACAUUCACGGACGCCAGACAUGAACAACUUGACGAUAAUAUUCUUCGUGGCCUUGAACGCCACAUGACGUACGGGUUGGCAAUAUUUGAAUUAUGCUGCCAUGGCAUCAUGCAUGCCAGAAUGGUCUUAAAAUAAUCUGUACGAAAUAGUCGUGCACAUCUUGGCGGGCGGGUAGUUCAGAAAUUGGUGUGCUUUAGGCUUUUAGAGAUGGCAGGGCUGUGAGCUGCACCGAAUAAUUUUUAAAUUGGCUAUUAGGGUUUAAAAUCCAUACAGAUGUGGAGCACUCCCUUUCAAUGCGAAGAAGCUCGAAUUUCCCGCUUUUCCCAUCUAAAGCGACGCGAAAAAUUGGUUUGAUAGCGGCAGUAGAGAACACACGCACUGCAUUCGUUUUUGAUUGACGGUGAAUGGGCUUGCUCGACUGUUUGGUGUGCCUGUACGGACAUUGUUGGCGUCCAUUCCUUCUGAUGACUUGCAUUAUGAGAAUUGUGAACGAACGGUUAAGGUGCCGGCAAAUUUGCGGUUUCAUUUUGAUGUUACGGAUCAGCGCGAUAGGAUCACUGGUACGCAAGUUGUUCUGCGCGCGAACGAUUCUGGGCAUGAUUAGUUUGUUGUGCGGGCAUUGGCGUGGCUAGCUGAAGAAAACAGACCGGGCAAAAUGCUUUGAACAUUCAAAGUAAACAGACAUACGUGUGUGUUUGACAUAGGUGUAUGUUUAAGGCUUAGUUGUUUUAGUUUGCUCGGCAAAUGUAUGAACUUAUGUGUUACGUGUGCUCUGCAUCGCGACGUAAACAAGAUGUUUGAUUCUAAUCAACUUUCUGUGACGUUUAGUCCAUAUGUCUGAUAUCAGCCCCCUAUGACCUGUUGUAAUACACUUGCCAGAUUUGUA